AUUGAACGCUAGCGGGAUGCCUUACACAUGCAAGCCGAACGGCAGCGCGGACUUCGGUCUGGCGGCGAGUGGCGAACGGGUGAGUAAUGUAUCGGAACGUGCCCAGUAGCGGGGGACAACCACUCGAAAGAGUGGCUAAUACCGCAUACGCCCUACGGGGGAAAGGGGGGGAUCGAAAGACCUCUCACUAUUGGAGCGGCCGAUAUCGGAUUAGCUAGUUGGUGGGGUAAAGGCCUACCAAGGCGACGAUCCGUAGCUGGUUUGAGAGGACGACCAGCCACACUGGGACUGAGACACGGCCCAGACUCCUACGGGAGGCAGCAGUGGGGAAUUUUGGACAAUGGGGGAAACCCUGAUCCAGCCAUUCCGCGUGUGCGAUGAAGGCCUUCGGGUUGUAAAGCACUUUUGGCAGGAAAGAAAUCGUGUGGGUUAAUACCCUGCGCGGAUGACGGUACCUGCAGAAUAAGCACCGGCUAACUACGUG
rnacentral:rRNA from 1 species